rnacentral:lncRNA from 1 species
UUUUCCGAGGGGGCUGAACCAGACCUUGUCCAGGGCCACCAUCAGGAAGAGGAACUCCGCCAUGAUGAUGGGGAGGGUCAGGUUGAAGUCGAAGAGCGCCGCCUUCUCGAACUCCUCCGCCAGCGACGGUGGUGCGGCGGCCAGGGCGGCGACGGCGACGGCGGCGAAGGAUUUGAGGGAGGUGGAGGUAGAGAGAGAAGUGAGUUGCGGCUUUGGGAAUUUGGGGAUUUGGGGGAAUUUUGGGAAUUGGAGGUGUUUGGGUUUUGGGGCGGAGGAGGAGUGAGUUGGGAUUAGGGUUUUGGAGGAGGAGGCCAUGAUCAUGUUGGCCAUGGCUAUGGGACUGGUUGUGUCAAGUGGAGUAUUGCAAUGGGGUGUGUGAGAGAGAGGGAGAGGGGUUUGAUUUUGUGUGAAAUGUGUGGGGAGAGAGAGAGAAAGGACUUUAUCUUAUUCCAUGCCACACAAAAUUAAGAGGUGGUGGUGACAAGGAAAGAUGUGCAUAGAAGACUCUCAAAUGAAAAAAAAAAAUUAAAAAAAUGUAAUAUGGGGUAAACAAAGAUUUUUUGGUUUUGAUUUUUUGUUUUUAUUAUUUUGAAAAACACAAAAAUAUGUGUUUAGUUGAGGGUUUUCAUAUUCUGUUUUUAAGUUUUUUUUUUAAUAUUUUCACAAACUAUUUUUCUAAAAAUGAGAGUUUUGGUAUUCAACACCACUUUCUAAAAAAUAAGUUAUGAAUACAAUGAACUAUAGUGUGAUAAUUGGGAUCGAAACUGAUUAUCGAAUCGGUCACUUCCACGACCACGAUGACUCGACUGAGUUUAUGGGUGGUCGAUCAUUCGUAGAUAUUAUAGUGAUUCGACAGUCAACCAUUCAUUAAAAAAAAUGAAGCGCAAAUGGAUUGCGGUCACCAGUCAUCUAAUUUUUUAUAAAGGCAGCUUGAUGUACAUUGUGGAGUGCUACGUAUUUUCAGCUUACAACAAGAAUUGGAACGUGAAUGGAAGUUUCCAAUAGGCUAACCAUUUAAGUGCCGUGCCUGCCAAUCACUAGACCUCCGUCCAGAGGGGUAAUCUUUGGGCAUUAAAGAUAUUACUACUACAAAGGCGUACGAUACUUCUGAAGGCUUCCCAAGAAACCAUCUGCAAAUCCUUGACGAGAAAGAACUGCUUUUGGAUUUCCUAUGGGGAAUACUCACCAGUCUCCGGUCAGUAUGUGAAACCACCCGUCCAAUAAAACUGAGACCACUCGUUGUAGUGUGACCGAUAUCCUCAUUCCGAUCCUCACAAUGCUGGUGUCCGUCGUAAGCUCUCUAGAUCGUCAGAAUUUCACCAUCUUUUGGGACCAUUUGUUCUAGCUCUGACCUUCAAUCAUGCAAAUUAAUCACAAUCUCAUUAAUUUACAGUUUAACAAAAAAAAAAGGAGAUGUUAUAUAAAAGAGACCUUACAUCCUGGUUUCCAAAGCAAAACAACUAUCUUUGACUGCCUCCCUCGUAGAUUAAAAUCGAAAACAUGUCCGAACAAAAUGCAGCUGCUUUCAGAUAAGGAACCACAUAAGCAACAAAAAAAUAGGGGGCACACCAACAACAAAUGUCACUGUGUCAUACAGAAAGAAUGGACGUGGAGAUGAUACACUCCAUAAAUCCUCAAGUAAAAGUAAUGGACAAACAGAAGUCAAAAUGUAGCUGGUGAAAUCAUGCUACCGGAUGAGAUUGAGACCAAAAGGAAGAAGAAAUAUAGAACACCAAGUAAGCAGCAAGAUGUAACCUUACAUCUACAUGUGGAGCAAGUUGAUUACCCACGAAGAACCACGCCAGUAUUUUAAGCUUUUUAUAGGCCGCUUACAUAUUUUAAUCGGAUUGCACUCUCUUCUCUUGUGGUGGUCAAAAGUCCCUAUCCAUUGUUGGACCCUCAACUUUCCGCUUGUUGAAUGAAGGAACGAAAGUGGAUUGUUGCUCAAAUGCUUUGCAGAGUUGCAGUCAAAUGAAUCCAGAAAAGAUUACAAGUGCUGAAUCCGUAAUCUGUGAUUGGUUGAGGUACUGAUGUUACCUCCUAUAAGGUAAAGGUUCAUUUUUCUUGAUAGGGUGGGUAUCGCACACCUCGCUACAGUCCCAUUGCCAUUGGGUAUCAACUCAUUAACAACUUCAAACUUUCAGGGGAAGGCUUAUAUGCCCUGGGUAUAAAUGGCGAUGCUGCCUGCCUCAAAUCACACAUUGUUCUCUGACAUGGAGUGGUAAUCGGAUAAAGGAAAAAAAAACAAGAAGACGAAUGUAAAAAGCGGGUGCCGAGGUCAGGUGCUAAAGACUCACGGACUAAGCUUGGUCUAUACUACAUCGAGAUGGGAAAGGGUUAAAUACAAAAAUGGGUACGAACUGACUUGAUCGAUGAGGAGUGUUGAGAUAACACUUGUUUAUGAGAGUGAUAAGCAGGAGAACCAUCUCCGUAAGGAAUCUACAAAAACCUAUUACAUAAAGGUUGACCAAACAAACUUCUGUAUCCCCAAUUUAAAACAGAUUGGGUCAUGGACUCAGAAUAAGACGAACUGCCACAGUUCAUAUGAAAAGUCGUCAGAUAGAAAGCAAUUGAUGUUAGAGAUAUGAACACAAAUCUAUAUUAUUUCUAACCAUCUAUAAUCACUGCUGACAGUAUAUUUUAUUCAACUGGUUUCUAUUGAUCAACUAAAUAUGGUUACAAUGCUUAUGUUCCCCAAUUAGGGACCCCCCCACCCCCACCCCCAAUCUAAGUCAUUUAAGCGAAACGAGUUUACACCUAUGUCUUAUUGUCUUGGAUCUACUCAUAAUAUACUACGUCAUGUCAGAUAUUAGUUUUAUAUAAAUAAUUAUUUCCUCCGUCCCCACCAAUUUGUUUAGCAUUUUUUUAAUUUGGCAGUCCAAAAAAUCCUUGGCAGUUGAAACGUCAACGCAAGAAAACUUGAGUUCAUGUUUUGCUACCCAUUUCUUACAAAUGGUUAUAAUACUUAUCGAGAGUGGGGAUAAAGGGAUAACACGACGCUGGGCAUCCGUUGGAACAUCGCUACCUUUGUGAUUUGUGAAUUUUGAGAACUUUAAAUGCAUUUUUCCCUUAAAAAGUUGGGAACCGAAAACGGGACAACAAAAUGGGUGGCAGGAAAAGUUAUUUGGUCUAUUUCAUUGUUUUCUUCCCAAGUUCAUUAUAGAUGGGACGAACUUUGUUAUUUAAAUAUUAGGUUUUUUGAAUUGGCACAUUGCAUCAAUAACUUUCUCUAAAACGAACGUUUUGUGCUAAAACAAUUACAGAAGAGGAGAGGAAAAGGCAGCAAGCCAACAAAUCUUUUGUGACCUGACAUUUGGAUAGGAAACAUAGAGCUGCAUUCUCUAGUUUGCUGUAACUACCAGGCGAGGAUGUGCCAUAAGGCAAACAAUAGACUUUUGAUAUUCUUGAUAAGCAAUAAGAUUUCGGGUAUUAUCCCAAAAAGCUAACAGUAGGACGAAGAGUAAGAUGCUGCUUUUUAUUUAAGGACACAUGGUUGUUAUGCUAUUAAGUGCAAAAAAUUUAGGGCAUGGGUCGAAGAUUUCCCUACUUUCAUAGAUCUUAGAAAGAAGACCUUCUUUGCCUUAAGAAACGUUAAAUCUAAAAUAGAGAGAACUCGUUGUGGUAAAAAAGGAGGUGAGAAUCUCCCAACGUCAUUGGCAAGAAAAAGAGAAGAAUCUUCUAGUAAGAUGUAGUAACUGAUCCAUGUAAGGCCAAGAUUAGGGAAAGUUAAACUCCAAUUUAGUCUUCUAAGAAAGACCUUGAGGCAAAUCACACAAUAUGAGAAAUAAGCAACAAAAAGAAUGUGAGAUGUCCUAAGAAUAUGAUAUUGAAUGAAAAAGCACAGAGAAGUUCUACAGGAUACCCCACAGGAGAUACACUUUGAAAACGCUUCAAGGUGGUUGAUAGUCCCUAAAAAGCGUCUUUCAGGGAAAAUACAACACUAAACUGAUCUCCGUCAAUGAUUCCAUAAUUGCCGACAGGUUCACUGUCAACAAACUAGAUUCCAACCAUCAUAGCAUAGGUGUGGCAAGAAACGGCCCCCAAACAUGUGACCUAGGUGAAUAAAGUGCACAUAAAAAUCCCCCAAAGUCAUUUCAUACAAAAUUAAAAAAUAAAAGAAAUCAAACAACCAAUCUACAAGUCUCUUAGAAACAACAACCAACCUGAAAAUAUAUAGUAACAAGCAU